GAAGAGAGCUUGGCACACUGUCAGUGCUCCC
rnacentral:piRNA from 1 species